rnacentral:rRNA from 1 species
UACGUAGGUGUCGAGCGUUAUCCGGAAUUACUGGGCGUAAAGGGCACGCAGGCGGCUGUUCAAGUUCGGCGUGAAAGCUCCCGGCUAAACUGUGAGAGGCCGUUGAAAACUGCAUGGCUUGAGGCAAUGAGAGGGAUGCGGAAUUCCCGAUGUAGUGGUGGAAUGCGUAGAUAUCGGGAAGAACACCAGUGGCGAAAGCGGCAUCCUGGCAUUGACCUGACGCUGAGGUGCGAAAGCGUGGGUAGCGAACGGG